UACGUAGGGUGCGAGCGUUAAUCGGAAUUACUGGGCGUAAAGCGUGCGCAGGCGGUAAGUUAAGUCUGAUGUGAAAGCCCCGGGCUCAACCUGGGAAUGGCAUUGGAAACUGGCUUGCUAGAGUGUGGCAGAGGGGGGUGGAAUUCCGCGUGUAGCAGUGAAAUGCGUAGAGAUGCGGAGGAACACCGAUGGCGAAGGCAGCCCCCUGGGCUGACACUGACGCUCAGGCACGAAAGCGUGGGGAGCAAACAGGG
rnacentral:rRNA from 1 species